UACAGAGGUCUCAAGCGUUGUUCGGAUUCAUUGGGCGUAAAGGGUGCGUAGGCGGCGCGGUAAGUCGGAUGUGAAAUCUCGGAGCUUAACUCCGAAACUGCAUUCGAUACUGCCGUGCUUGAGGACUGGAGAGGAGACUGGAAUUUACGGUGUAGCGGUGAAAUGCGUAGAUAUCGUAAGGAAGACCAGUGGCGAAGGCGGGUCUCUGGACAGUUCCUGACGCUGAGGCGCGAAAGCUGGGGGAGCAAACGGG
rnacentral:rRNA from 1 species